UGAAGCCCUUCGGGGUGGAUUAGUGGCGAACGGGUGAGUAACACGUGGGCAAUCUGCCCUUCACUCUGGGACAAGCCCUGGAAACGGGGUCUAAUACCGGAUACGACGCGCUCGGGCAUCCGAUGUGCGUGGAAAGCUCCGGCGGUGAAGGAUGAGCCCGCGGCCUAUCAGCUUGUUGGUGAGGUAACGGCUCACCAAGGCGACGACGGGUAGCCGGCCUGAGAGGGCGACCGGCCACACUGGGACUGAGACACGGCCCAGACUCCUACGGGAGGCAGCAGUGGGGAAUAUUGCACAAUGGGCGAAAGCCUGAUGCAGCGACGCCGCGUGAGGGAUGACGGCCUUCGGGUUGUAAACCUCUUUCAGCAGGGAAGAAGCGAAAGUGACGGUACCUGCAGAAGAAGCGCCGGCUAACUACGUGCCAGCAGCCGCGGUAAUACGUAGGGCGCGAGCGUUGUCCGGAAUUAUUGGGCGUAAAGAGCUCGUAGGCGGUCUGUCGCGUCGGAUGUGAAAGCCCGGGGCUUAACCCCGGGUCUGCAUUCGAUACGGGCAGACUAGAGUGUGGUAGGGGAGAUCGGAAUUCCUGGUGUAGCGGUGAAAUGCGCAGAUAUCAGGAGGAACACCGGUGGCGAAGGCGGAUCUCUGGGCCAUUACUGACGCUGAGGAGCGAAAGCGUGGGGAGCGAACAGGAUUAGAUACCCUGGUAGUCCACGCCGUAAACGGUGGGAACUAGGUGUUGGCGACAUUCCACGUCGUCGGUG
rnacentral:rRNA from 1 species